ACAGCCUGGACAACACUGAGCCAGCCCUUCCUAGAGCCCACGUUGUCCUUACUCUGAGUCUCUGAUCAGGACACUGAUUUCCCAGUUGGGUCCCCCACCACAUUCCACCCCUACCUAGAGGGGCUAUGAGGCCAGACCCUGGAAUGGAGGAACACGGUGUGAACACCAUCCUUCCCAGCUUGGCGCCCUGGCAGCCAGGAGACACCCUCUAAACCUCAGCAAGAUGGGCGCCAACAGUGAAGGCACCUCUGUGAGGAGACUCAGGGAACCCAUCACAUGUCUCACCUCAGGACUCCCUCCUCAAGGAAGCAACCACCCAGAGGGACGCAUCAGAACUGCGCUGAGCACCUUGAGACAUUCCCUCCUCCCUUCCUGCAAUGUCACCACGGGGGAGAUGCUCCUCCCGUCGCAGACAAGGCACAGAGGGGCUGCGAAGCUACUUGCAGUGGGAAGGGCCCACGAGAUCCACAGGGGAUGUGGAGGGGCCACAGGCUUUCUUAAUCUCCUACUUAAUGAAACUUUGGCUGAUGGGCCUACAGAGAACUCCUUCAGAAAAAGUACCGGAUGACCAUCUACAAAG
rnacentral:lncRNA from 1 species